AAGUGGCCCCGCUGAGAAGGCACGUUAGCUAUCGUCAGAUUGGUGAACUAGAGCCGAAACGACUGCCCGUGCAACUGAGAGCAGCGGAAACUACGGGAUGGAAGGCCAAGGGUCAUCAGUGGGCGGGUACUUCCUGUAGAGGUAGUCCAAUCGCAGAGCCAGAGAAUUAGUUCCCUAUAAAAGCCAGAAGAGGCGGGCUUCUCAUUCUUUUUCUGGCUUGCACGCUUUCUGGUCGGACGUGGAAGUUUUGAGGUUGUGCUGUGACUCUCAUCUUAAUUGGAUCCCCUUAGCUUCGAGUUCGAAGGCGCGACCGGCAUUCCUCUUUCUUCCUGCUAUAAUACCUGGGAAUGAACAACCGAAACGACCAGUGGAAGCUUCCUGUGGCGCUACCAGACGGUCGAGGUGUGCCCUGUUCUGUGGAUGGACUUAACCACCAAACAGAUUUCAUGGUGAGCACACUACAACAGUUUUUCCCCUAUGCAUUUGUGUUAUGGGUAAGUAAAAAGUUGGGGGGGGGGUGUGCUAGAAGAUUACUGCAGUCUGCCCAUAAUAAAAAGGCAGUUUGAUUAUGGGUGGUAAGAGUCGGGGUGUGACUAGUAGUUUACAGCUGAUUGGUCAUUCACUAUAUAAAAUUUUCAGAUCUUCAUAUCUAAAAUACUAGGCAAAGCUCCAUGCUGAAGCAGCCUUUUACUUCUGGUGUUUAUGCCUAUCCCUAUUCUCCUUUUCCCACAUUGUUCUGGGUCUUUAAGUACCAAAGGAAAUGGAAUUAUGGAGCUAGAAUACAGCAUCACCUGGUGCUAAGUGGCUUUCUUAAUAUACACAGGUUGUCCUGGCUCCAAAGUGCAUCCUUUCUUUGGAUCACUUCUACCACAGCUAGCUUUGUUGUGGUUGGGGAAAGAGGGAGAACAUGGUGUGGAGAAGACUCAUUUCCCAGUACCAUCCAAUGAUUGUGUGUGUAUACACGCAUAUAUGCCUAUUUUUUCUUAAUGCCAGAACACCUAUUGAUAGAAUGCAUAUAGAUGAACUUGCAAAAGCAGUUACCUUGUAGUAACUGUAGAAGACAAACUUGUAGAAGAGGCACUUGAUGGAGAUAAAUCUGACAAAAACUUAAAAUGUCCAGAAAGAAUACCUUGCUGUCUCUAGCAUCCAUUGUGAAUCUGCCUCAUAACAUAAUGGAAAAGAAAGGUGCCCCAGGGUAGAGUUGCAGCCUCUGCAGCACUGAUACUAUACAUUGGAGUCUCCCAAAGUCCUACCACAGGUAAAUCCAGCUAUUAGGAGAGUGAAAAAUGGUGCUUUUCUGAACUGUCUCUAGCCUUCCCUAAAAACCUAUUGCUCUGGAGUCUUAGUGUAAAUUUGUCCAAACUAAUUACAUAUAGCCCACAUAAAGAUGAAGCUUUUUUUUUUUUUUUUUUUGGCUAGAUAUGAGUGUCACUGGAUAGUUGUCCUCAGGAAUGUAGCCUAGAAUAGAACCAAAGAUUUGGCUAUCAAAUGUCUCAGGACCUGUAUAGGAAAAGUGACUAAUGCCAAACUUAAGAUUCCCUGCCUCUUUUGAGUUAUUGUCACUAAUUUAGUUUCUUCAGCUGCAAACUGGAGGCGAUAAAAGCACUUAACCUCCCAGGGUUGUUCUGAGGCUCAAAUGAGAUAUUACUUGUAAAGUGCUUAUCAUAGUGUCUGGCACAUAGUGAGCACUUAAUAAGUAUAUCACUUAUAUAAAAUAUAUUUUUGUAUAAUCCUUGUUUACUUCCCAAUGUUAGGAGGAUUUGGGGAGGAGAAUAUAAGGAAAUUGAUACUUGUACUUUCCCAUCUUUCUCCCUAUGUCUGAUAACUGACCUCCAGGUAUAGCAUCCUAAUUUGUAUCUCUCGAAUGCUAUUUUGUUAUAUAUUGUGUCAUUAAUUGCAAUUGUAUAUUAAAGUUAUUAUGAAUAAACUGAAAAUUGAUGAAUUGCUA